AGAGUUUGAUCAUGGCUCAGAACGAACGCUGGCGGCGUGCCUAACACAUGCAAGUCGAGCGAGAAAGCUUCCUUCGGGAGGUGAGUAAAGCGGCGCACGGGUGAGUAACACGUAGGUAAUCUGCCCCAAGGUCUGGAAUAACUAGAGGAAACCCUAGCUAAUGCCGGAUAAGACCACGACCUCUUCGGAGGUUGUGGCCAAAGGCGGCCUCUUCAUGAAAGCUGUCGCCAUGGGAUGAGCCUGCGGCCCAUUAGCUUGUUGGUGAGGUAACGGCUCACCAAGGCUGUGAUGGGUAGCUGGUCUGAGAGGAUGAUCAGCCACACUGGGACUGAGACACGGCCCAGACUCCUACGGGAGGCAGCAGUGGGGAAUAUUGCGCAAUGGGGGAAACCCUGACGCA
rnacentral:rRNA from 1 species